rnacentral:rRNA from 1 species
GACGUAGGGGGCCAGCGUUGCUCGGAAUUACUGGGCGUAAAGGGUCCGUAGGCGGUGUGGUAAGUCGGGAGUGAAAUCUCUGGGCUUAACUCAGAGGCUGCUUCCGAAACUGCCGUGCUAGAGUGCGAGAGAGGCAAGUGGAAUUGCGGGUGUAGCGGUGAAAUGCGUAGAUAUCCGUAGGAACAUCCGAGGCGAAAGCGGCUCGCUGGAUCACAACUGACGCUGAGGGACGAAAGCUAGGGGAGCAAACAGG